rnacentral:rRNA from 1 species
GUCCACGCUGUAAACGAUGAUGACUAGCUGUCGGGGCGCUUAGCGUUCCGGUGGCGCAGCUAACGCGUUAAGUCAUCCGCCUGGGGAGUACGGCCGCAAGGUUAAAACUCAAAGAAAUUGACGGGGGCCUGCACAAGCGGUGGAGCAUGUGGUUUAAUUCGAAGCAACGCGCAGAACCUUACCAGCGUUUGACAUGGUAGGACGGUUUCCAGAGAUGGAUUCCUUCCCUUACGGGACCUACACACAGGUGCUGCAUGGCUGUCGU